rnacentral:rRNA from 1 species
CCUACGGGAGGCAGCAGUGGGGAAUCUUGCGCAAUGGGCGAAAGCCUGACGCAGCCAUGCCGCGUGUAUGAUGAAGGUCUUAGGAUUGUAAAAUACUUUCACCGGUGAAGAUAAUGACUGUAGCCGGAGAAGAAGCCCCGGCUAACUUCGUGCCAGCAGCCGCGGUAAUACGAAGGGGGCUAGCGUUGCUCGGAAUUACUGGGCGUAAAGGGAGCGUAGGCGGACAUUUAAGUCAGGGGUGAAAUCCCGAGGCUCAACCUCGGAACUGCCCUUGAUACUGGGUGUCUUGAGUGUGAGAGAGGUAUGUGGAACUCCGAGUGUAGAGGUGAAAUUCGUAGAUAUUCGGAAGAACACCAGUGGCGAAGGCGACAUACUGGCUCAUUACUGACGCUGAGGCUCGAAAGCGUGGGGAGCAAACAGGAUUAGAUACCCUGGUAGUCCACGCCGUAAACGAUGAUUGCUAGUUGUCGGGAAGCUUGCUUCUCGGUGACGCAGCUAACGCAUUAAGCAAUCCACCUGGGGAGUACGGUCGCAAGAUUAAAACUCAAAGGAAUUGACGG